AGGAGGAUGACUGUGUGGCAGUAGUUCCACGCCUGUGGCUCAAAUGAGGACUUUUGCUACUGGCCACCAAACAGCAUCACCAGCCGGAAGUCUUUCAGCCACUACAAGUUUGCCAGAACUUGUUCACCACCUGGGAGGCUGUCCCUUAUAAGUCCAUCAAGCAUGCAGAUACGUGAAAGACCGGACGUGUGUAUCGCCAGAGGAACGAGAAUUGUUCCAGUGUGGGCCCCUACCACGUCAAGGACACACAUCUACACCACAACACCCUGUGGAUUGCAGCCCUGGAGGAUAGAACAAGCACAGUACUCCAAGGCACCAGAGAGGUAC